rnacentral:tRNA from 1 species
UGGAGGGUGGUGCCAGUGGGUACUGGACGACGCCUGUCACGCGUUCGAGUGGCUCUCAGCCACUAGGGUUCGACUCCCUUGCCCUCCGA